rnacentral:misc_RNA from 1 species
GUAGGAGUGAGCCUGCUCGCGAUGGCGGUCUGUCAGCCAGCACAUGAGUUAACUGAUAAACCGCUAUCGCGAGCAGGCUCACUCCUAC